rnacentral:lncRNA from 1 species
GGAGCAGAGAGCAAGCAAAGGGUGGAGUUGGGUUGAAUCAAGUAUUCAAAGCAAGCAAGGUAGAGAGUAGAACAAGUGCUCUAAGCAAGCAGCUAAUGUGUGAGGGGCCAGCAAGAAAAAUAAGAUCAUGAAGCAACACGGGUAGCAAAGACUAGAGCACAAAAAUUAUGAUAGUAUGUAGAAGAGAGUCGUGCUGAUAACGUGUUGAGAAUGUUUAGAAAGACACAAGAGUAAUAGUAAGUCAUACACACACACAAGAGUAGUAGCAAGUCAUACACACAAGAGGGUUUCUAAGGAGAGAGAGCUUCACACUCAAAAAUCUAUUGAUCUGGUUUUGUUUCGUAUACAAGAAGAGAAAAGAAGAGAGGAUAAACAGAGACUCUAAUUACUGUAGCUAUGGUAAUUACUGUAGUCUACAGUAAAUAUUAUGGAGAGCGCAGGCUACAUUUAAUGAUCUCAACACUCAUACCAUGAUUAUAAUCUCUUUCACAGGUCGAACUAUGUAGUCUCAUGCGCAGCGGUGGAAAACUGAGCCGAAGCUGCGCCUCCCAGUACCGAUGUUGCUGACCUAAAGUGACUUAAUGGAUCGAGACUGUUCAUCAAUAGAAGUCUCUCUUUCGAGUGGAGAGAGACUGUUAUGAGCACCAACGCCCUCGGCAGGAUGGAAUGUGCCCGGAGAUGAUUUGCGUGUUGAGAAUGUUUAGAAAGACACAAGAGUAAUAGUAAGUCAUACACACACACAAGAGUAGUAGCAAGUCAUACACACAAGAGGGUUUCUAAGGAGAGAGAGCUUCACACUCAAAAAUCUAUUGAUCUGGUUUUGUUUCGUAUACAAGAAGAGAAAAGAAGAGAGGAUAAACAGAGACUCUAAUUACUGUAGCUAUGGUAAUUACUGUAGUCUACAGUAAAUAUUAUGGAGAGCGCAGGCUACAUUUAAUGAUCUCAACACUCAUACCAUGAUUAUAAUCUCUUUCACAGGUCGAACUAUGUAGUCUCAUGCGCAGCGGUGGAAAACUGAGCCGAAGCUGCGCCUCCCAGUACCGAUGUUGCUGACCUAAAGUGACUUAAUGGAUCGAGACUGUUCAUCAAUAGAAGUCUCUCUUUCGAGUGGAGAGAGACUGUUAUGAGCACCAACGCCCUCGGCAGGAUGGAAUGUGCCCGGAGAUGAUUUGCCUAUCAAGCGCCUACAGUGGUUAUGUUUCGCACUGCAUCGCACGUCCAAGGCCAGUGCUACCCCAUUGUCACAGAUGGACGCAGUGAAGUAGUUUGCGAAAAGCGGCUGAGGUCUUACGGCAACUGAUUUCCUAGUAAAUCCUUUCGUGUCUUUGCGAUUGCCAAUAUAUUUGUCGUCACCGUCAUCUUGGAGGAGGCAUCUUCGGAAUUCAGCUUCUCGUUGUUCGCCACGCGACAACAGCUCCAGUGGCGCAGGAUUCUGCGAGAAACAUGUGUCCCCGGAAUUUUAUCAAUUGGAGAGCCUAUCGUUCACAUGAUGUUUGCCUGCCACUUGCGAUAAGGCUUCGCCGGCCUGCGUAUGUCAACGGUCACCGCUUUUAUGAUCUGCAGCAAUGGUAGCACAACGCCGAGGUCAGAGCGAAUCCCAAACGCUGCACAAUCCUUUUCCAUGAAUAUCCAGAUAUUUGGCUUUUUCUUUCAGAUUUUAACCCAUUCAUCUAAGUCGCACGAGCGUGUAUGCAUAGAUUUACGACGCAAUGUGGACGUGCUCUCCCAGCACGUUUCGGUAAGAUACACAAGGAGCACAUCGCC